rnacentral:rRNA from 1 species
UGGAUCCAGACUUUGAUUCUGGCUCAGGAUGAACGCUAGCGACAGGCUUAACACAUGCAAGUCGAGGGGCAGCGGGGGAGGAAGUUCGCUUCCUCCCGCCGGCGACCGGCGCACGGGUGAGUAACACGUAUGCAACCUGCCCGAGGCAGUGGGAUAAGCCGGAGAAAUCCGGUCUAAUACCGCAUAACAAUCCCCGGGGACAUCCCCGGGGGUUCAAAGGAAGCGAUUCCGGCCGCGGAUGGGCAUGCGUCGCAUUAGGCAGUUGGCGGGGUAACGGCCCACCAAACCGACGAUGCGUAGGGGUUCUGAGAGGAAGGUCCCCCACAUUGGAACUGAGACACGGUCCAAACUCCUACGGGAGGCAGCAGUGAGGAAUAUUGGUCAAUGGGCGCAAGCCUGAACCAGCCAAGUCGCGUGAGGGAAGACGGUCCUAUGGAUUGUAAACCUCUUUUGUCAGGGAGCAAAAGCGGCGUGCGCGCCGCCUUGAGAGUACCUGAAGAAAAAGCAUCGGCUAACUCCGUGCCAGCAGCCGCGGUAAUACGGAGGAUGCGAGCGUUAUCCGGAUUUAUUGGGUUUAAAGGGUGCGUAGGCGGAAAGUUAAGUCAGUGGUCAAAACUCAAGGCUCAACCUUGAGUCGCCAUUGAAACUGGUUUUCUGGAGUGAGCGAGAAGUAUGCGGAAUGCGUGGUGUAGCGGUGAAAUGCAUAGAUAUCACGCAGAACUCCGAUUGCGAAGGCAGCAUACCGGCGCUCAACUGACGCUGAAGCACGAAAGCGUGGGUAUCGAACAGGAUUAGAUACCCUGGUAGUCCACGCAGUAAACGAUGAAUACUAGUUGUUCGGUGCGAAUGAGCACUGAGUGACACAGCGAAAGCGUUAAGUAUUCCACCUGGGGAGUACGCCGGCAACGGUGCAACUCAAAGGAAUUGACGGA